rnacentral:rRNA from 1 species
CGUGUAGGCGGUCAGGUAAGUGGAAUGUGAAAUGCCCCGGCUCACCCGGGGACCGGCAUCCCAAACUGCCUGGCUUGAGUAUGGGAGAGGAUGGAGGAAUUCCUGGUGUAGCGGUGAAAUGCGUAGAUAUCAGGAGGAACACCGGUGGCGAAGGCGUCCAUCUGGCCCAAUACUGACGCUGGGGCGCGAAAGCUAGGGGAGCAAACG